rnacentral:rRNA from 1 species
CCUACGGGUGGCAGCAGUGAGGAAUAUUGCGCAAUGGACGAAAGCCUGAAGCAGCGACGCCGCGUGAAGGAUGAAGGUCUUCGGGUCGUAAACCUCUUUCCACAGGGGAGAACAGUCACUCUGCUAAUCCUCCUUUCAUUGACAGUACCUGCAAAGGCAGCGCCUGCUAACUCCGUGCCAGCAGCCGCGGUAAUACGGAGGGUGCGGGCGUUAAUCGGAAUUACUGGGCGUAAAGCGCUCGUAGGCGGUAUGUCAAGUCAAGGGUGAAAUCCCCGCGCUCAACGGGGGAAUUGCCGUUGAAACUGGCAAACUGGAGUGUGGGAGAGGAGAGCGGAAUUCCAGGUGUAGCAGUGAAAUCCGUAGAUAUCUGGAGGAACACCAGUGGCGAAGGCGGAUUGCCGGACAGCAACUGACGCUGAGGCGCGAAAGUGUGGGGAGCAAACAGGAUUAGAUACUCGAGUAGUC